rnacentral:rRNA from 1 species
GACGAACGCUGGCGGCGUGCUUAACACAUGCAAGUCGAACGUGAUUUUUAAGGAAAGCCCUUCGGGGUGGGAAUUAAAAUGAAAGUGGCGAACGGGUGAGUAACACGUGAGCAACCUACCUUACACAGGGGGAUAGCCGUUGGAAACGACGAUUAAUACCGCAUGAGACCACAGAAUCGCAUGAUAUAGGGGUCAAAGAUUUAUCGGUGUAAGAAGGGCUCGCGUCUGAUUAGCUAGUUGGAAGGGUAAAGGCCUACCAAGGCGACGAUCAGUAGCCGGUCUGAGAGGAUGAACGGCCACAUUGGAACUGAGACACGGUCCAAACUCCUACGGGAGGCAGCAGUGGGGAAUAUUGCACAAUGGGGGGAACCCUGAUGCAGCGACGCCGCGUGAGCGAAGAAGGUUUUCGAAUCGUAAAGCUCUGUC